UGGGGAAUUUUGGACAAUGGGGGCAACCCUGAUCCAGCCAUCCCGCGUGUGCGAUGAAGGCCUUCGGGUUGUAAAGCACUUUUGGCAGGGAAGAAACAGCCUGGGAUAAUACCCCGGGCGACUGACGGUACCUGCAGAAUAAGCACCGGCUAACUACGUGCCAGCAGCCGCGGUAAUACGUAGGGUGCAAGCGUUAAUCGGAAUUACUGGGCGUAAAGCGUGCGCAGGCGGUUCGGAAAGAAAGGUGUGAGAUCCCAGGGCUUAACCUUGGAACUGCACUUUUAACUACCGAGCUAGAGUACGUCAGAGGGGGGUAGAAUUCCACGUGUAGCAGUGAAAUGCGUAGAGAUGUGAGGAAUACCGAUGGCGAAGGCAGCCCCCUGGGAUGAUACUGACGCUCAUGCACGAAAGCGUGGGGAGCAAACAGGAUUAGAUACCCCUGGGUAGUCCACGCCCUAAACGAUGUCAACUAGUUGUGGGAUUCAUUUCCUUAGUAACGUAGCUAACGCGUG
rnacentral:rRNA from 1 species